rnacentral:rRNA from 1 species
UACGGAGGGUGCAAGCGUUGUCCGGAUUUAUUGGGUUUAAAGGGUGCGUAGGUGGUUUGGUAAGUCUGGUUUGAAAGUCAGCCGCUUAACGGUUGAGGGUGGCUGGAUACUGCCGAACUUGAAUGUCCCGGAGGCAGGCGGAACGGGUUGUGUAGCGGUGAAAUGCAUAGAUAUGACCCAGAACACCGAUUGCGAAGGCAGCCUGCUACGGGAAGAUUGACACUGAGGCACGAGAGCAUGGGGAGCAAACAGG